CUUCUCCAGGUCUCGACCCUUCUUCAUCCACCGAGGGGCAGCUUCAUCGCGCUCCAUCGGGCGUCGAGUGCGUCGGCACGCAUGCGUCGAGGCAAAGAUUUUCGAAAUGUCCCUCUGGCAUUUCAUCAGCAUCUCAUCUCGACUGCGCCAAGAGCCUCCUUCAUUUGCCGGUUCCUUUCCGCGGCUUGGUUAAUUAUUAUUUUUCACGUGUCGUUUCGUUUGUACUUGUUGCUUGUCCGACCGCUUCUUGCUUCGUUACUCGAAAACGUAGCGACAGACCGUUUCUACGAGCCUUAAUUGGUUCCAUUUAUAGUUGCACGGUACCACUCGACCCGACUCGUUUACGACCCACGUUUUGCCAUUCGUUUCGCAAAUCAACCGGACGCGCCUUUUGCGCCACAGUUUCUACCCUGGAAGCAAGGAGGAAAAAUCGUAGCUCGAUUCCCCAUGGCGUGAUACACUUGAGCCAUUUCGUGGGACAGAAGAAACUCUGAUCAAUAACAUUACCCCAAAGAGAGGCGGCAACCCCUCUGCAACGACUACUCCCCCAUGAUGGUGAGCGCAUGCCCACGAAUUAAACGGCAUCCCUUCUCG
rnacentral:misc_RNA from 1 species